ensembl:lncRNA
CCUGAGCUUCUGUCUGAGUGGGCUGAGAGGUGGAAGUCUCUGCUGCCUCCCUGUGGGCCUGUGUGUACUCCAGGGCAGUGGGAGCCGCAGCCAGCUGGGAGGCCCUGAGGGUCUGCACGCCCGCUUCCCUCCCACCUCCAGGCUGCGGCUGCCCCCCUUCCUCCUUUUCUGCUGCAGCAUGGACAGUGCUGCUUGGAACAUCGCUUCAGGAGAGGAGAGAAGCAUUCUAAAGCCUUCUGGGGUCCUGGAAAGCUCCUCAGUGGACUCAUCGAGGCGUGGCGGCAGAUCAGCAGGCCCUGGUGCUUGCUGGCCUUUGGAGAAAGGUGAGCAGUCUCGUAGCAAUGUGGCCUGUGGGGUCUCCAUCUGCCUUGCCCAGAAUGAAUGGAGAGCACAGCUACACGUCC